GGUCACUAAUGAUAUGACAGAUGAUUUGACAUGGUGGGUUCAUAAUGUUUCCAUCCAGAACAGACUGAUUUUCAGGGGAGGUGCAGACAUUGCCUUGCACACAGACGCUUCCAACACAGGCUGGGGAGGUCAUUUAAAUGAGCGUAUCACUGGGGGCAGUUGGUCGUUAGAGGAACAACACCUUCACAUAAAUGCCCUUGAACUUAAGGCUGUUUUACUUGCUCUGCAGACCUUCCGCACUGACCUAAAAGACAAGCACAUCAAAGUCUUUUGUGACAACACCACAGCAAUGACUUACAUUAAUGAAAUGGGAGGUACCAAAUCUCUUACUUGCAACAACAUUGCCACAGCUAUCUGGGACUGGUGUUUGGCAAAUAAUGCUUGGAUUACCUGCUCAUUCAUUCCAGGUAAAGACAAUGUUAGGGCAGACUUGGCAUCUCGUCAUAAGAACGAACGCCAUGAAUGGCAACUGAAUGUGUCCAUUUUUCGUGUCCUGUGUCAUGUUUUUGGCACUCCUACCAUAGAUCUGUUUGCCUCCAGACUGAACAAACAAGUUCCACUUUUCUGUUCUUGGAGACCGGACCCCGAAGCUGCUUACUUUGAUGCCUUUUCCAUCAAGUGGUCAAUGUUUCCUCUUUGUUACAUGUUUCCCCCUUUUUCACUCAUCUCUAGGUGCCUACAGAAAUUGCGGGCCGAACAAGUCGAGGGCUGGAUGGUGGUGCCCCUGUGGCUGUCACAGCCAUGGAUGGGCAUGUUGUUGCACAUGCUGGUCGACCACCCUUGGUUGAUUAUGCGGGGGCAAGCAGUUCUGACACAUCCGUCCUCGGCAGCCCAACACCCAGUUUUGGUCCACACACAACUCAUGGCAUGCAGGUUAUCAGGGAGUCUCUCAAAGCACGAGGCAUAUCUGCAGACGGUUCAGACAUCAUCAUGGCCUCUUGGAAGCCGGGGACGGCCAGACAAUACAGACCACACAUCAACAUGCAAUGGUUACCCACAAAGAUGCACUACCACCCUUCUAAUGUACAGCACCCAUCACUACAACUUGUAAACACCCCUUUGUAUAGUGAAGGAAAAAAUAAUGAGAGAGGAAGAGUGAUGAGAAAAUGGACAACUGUUUAAGUGAGUUAUUAACCUGGAGCAAAGACUACCUGAAGGAUACACGUAUUCACACACACCUAUGUACUGUGAAAAAGGCCUGUUCCAGGCAUUUUACUUGCUUCUCUCUUGUAUGUUGUAGAUCUUCCCCUAAACCUCCAGAUGUAUGUGAACAAGUUCUAAUAUCCCACCCCAGACCGACUUCUCAUCAUUUUCGGUCCUUGAAGCGAAGAAAAACCUGGUACAUAUAGAGAGCGACGUGGACACAAAAACUCUGUGAGAGCAAGAUAAUGGAUAGGAUCCAAAGAGGGAAGGAGGAAGGGUAGGGAAUAGAAUAUAAAGAUGACGGAUGAGUGAGAGACACUAGGUUAUUUUGGGGAGCAUAAUAGGAUGCACAUUAGAAGCUUAAAGCGAGGAAUAUAAUUUUGAAAAGCAUACUUUGAGGAUUGUUAAGCAUUUUCCGAAAGUUUUUGAGCACAAUCCCAUACAAAGAUAGUAGGGGGAAUACAGAUCAGAUGAGUAUGAUUUAUGCAAAUACCACUGCUACGUUAUUUUACGUGCUGUAUACCUAUGGAACACUACAUUACUUCUACUCUUACAAUUCUUUUUUCAUAACCAUCACCAAAAACGGCAUAAAUACACAAUAAAAAAAAAAU
rnacentral:misc_RNA from 1 species